UGAAAUAGAACCUCAUUUUACUUGUG
rnacentral:piRNA from 1 species